rnacentral:lncRNA from 1 species
GAGACAUUCAAUUUUCUCUCUUCCAUCAUCAUUAUCUAUGAGGCCAUCUGUUGUGGAAAAUGAAUUCAGCCUCAUUUGCAUGACUGAUAAGCAAUUUUUUUUUUUAUCUAUUUAACAGAAGGUCAUAUGCCGGGGAUUUGGAGCUUGUGAAAAAAAAAAUGUGGAAAAAAAAAAAAAAAAAGCCUAGGAGAGGAUGAGUGGGAGUGUGUGCAUGGGGGGUGUGUGGAAGUCAAACAGAUCGCUGAGGCCUGCGAGCCUAUCGCGCUGCAUUUGUCAUUCCUGCCCGGGCGACAUUUUUUUUUCCCUAAGCUACUGCACACUAAACAGAGUGAGAGAGCUUUUCCCUGCAGUCUUCUUGAAGCCCCCCUGGUUUUUUUACUCGUUGUUGGGCGGGUCAUGCGGAGGCUGUAGCCAAGGACGAGGUGUGUGCGGCUGUUGCCUGGACCUUUGUCCAAUCCACGUCGACAUUUGAGGAAUCACAGCGUGUGAAAAUGAACUCAGAGGAGAAUUGGUGAAUUCCUAUCCAGUGGGCAUCUUCGAACCCUGGUGGACGGCAGAAGAAUAUCAGGUCCAGGGAUCACCCACCCAGCGUGGCGACAGUGCAG